CAUAGCAAAUGUUAAAACCACAACAGGUUUUAUAAUAAUACAUUUAAUAUAUUUAUGUUUCUUAUAAAAAAUAUAUAUAAUUUUAAAAAAAUAAAAUUUUGAAAAAAAGAAUAACUAAUCAUUCCUUUUUUGUAUUGUAUGUCUAUAUAUAUAUCUUCUUCACUAAAAAUAUUCUUGUCAUUCACAUGAGAACCCAAUUCAUUUAGAUGUUUUAAAUCUGUUUAUACCUUUUUAAAUUUUGGACUCAUUGUGCCCACUUUUCAACUGCUUUAUUGCGGCUACUUUAGCGG
rnacentral:lncRNA from 1 species